rnacentral:rRNA from 1 species
UAAUACGGAGGGUGCGAGCGUUGUCCGGAAUCACUGGGCGUAAAGGGCGCGUAGGCGGCCUGAUAAGUAGGGGGUGAAAUCCUGCGGCUUAACCGCAGGGCUGCCUUCUAAACUGUCAGGCUCGAGCACAGUAGAGGCAGGUGGAAUUCCCGGUGUAGCGGUGGAAUGCGUAGAGAUCGGGAAGAACAUCAGUGGCGAAGGCGGCC